CACGCCGCGUGAGUGAUGAAGGCUUUCGGGUCGUAAAACUCUGUUGUUAGGGAAGAACAAGUGCUAGUUGAAUAAGCUGGCCCCUUGACGGUACCUAACCACAAAGCCACGGCUAACUACGUGCCAACAGCCGCGGUAAUACGUAGGUGGCAAGCGUUAUCCGGAAUUAUUGGGCGUAAAGCGCGCGCAGGUGGUUUCUUAAGUCUGAUGUGAAAGCCCACGGCUCAACCGUGGAGGGUCAUUGGAAACUGGGAGACUUGAGUGCAGAAGAGGAAAGUGGAAUUCCAUGUGUAGCGGUGAAAUGCGUAGAGAUAUGGAGGAACACCAGUGGCGAAGGCGACUUUCUGGUCUGUAACUGACACUGAGGCGCGAAAGCGUGGGGAGCAAACAGGAUUAGAUACCCUGGUAGUCCACGCCGUAAACGAUGAGUGCUAAGUGUUAGAGGGUUUCCGCCCUUUAGUGCUGAAG
rnacentral:rRNA from 1 species